rnacentral:lncRNA from 1 species
ACAAAAGGUAUCAACUUUAAAGAACCGAUUGACAUGUGUUAUUAUAAAAACAUCACGAAAUCGGCAUGUUUAGAAAACAAUAUGUCUCUUAUGAAAAAAACAAAUUGAAGGUUUAUCAAAAGAAUGAAAAACAUGCAAUCUAAUGAAAUAUUUGUUAUUUUCAGGAUAAGAUUGUUUAUUUUCGUUUUGUUGGUCAGCGUUUACAGCUGUGUCCAUGCAAGUCCUGGGUCAGAUUUUUUAGGAAUCCUCGCUUGGACAAAUGGAGUUGACCUUGAAACAGUUCACACUCGCGAAGAAGCAUGCCAAUACAAAGAAGGUACAGAUUUCAACUUAGAAGAUUGCAUAAACGCAGUAAUUGAUAAGGUUUGUUCCGGGAAUUGCAACGGAAGAGGUCGGGAUGUUGUUUCAGCUGUUAUCUGGCAAGCCGUGUUGCAAGCCUCGGCUGAUGAUUUUUGUGCAAAAGCAGAAGAUGAAGAGGGUUGCGUCUGGCUGUUAUCUGAAUCAAAAGAUUGCGAGGACAAACGAUCGUUUAAUAUCAAAAAGUCUUCUGGAUCAGGACACGAUCUUCCACAGCUGCCACCAAAACCCAGUGAGAAGAGGAGCUUGAAUUUCGACAACUUGAAAAAUGCUCUCAAGUCAAACAGAGGUAGAAGUGGUUUAUUAAGGAAAAUGCUGAAUAUCAAAAAAUAACAUUGACGAGACUAUAGUGGACCCUGACGACCAAUAAACUGCGACACGGACAAUGAUUGUAUUGAUUGUAAUAAUAUUUUGGGGGACAUUUUGAAGGGGACUACAAAAAUACAGGGCUACUUUUGAUAACUGUAUGUGAUUUUAAAUUAAAAUGAAAUAGUUUUAAAGGCAUUUGUUUAAUUUAGUGUUUUUUAAGUUGAGAGAACAUGUAUUUUUAACAUGUUCAAUUGUGACGAAAAACUACAACAAACACACAAAAUGUAAAAAAAUCAUUAGCGUAGAAACGAACAAAAUCGAUUGGUUAUCUAUAUGAGAUGUGUAUAGUUUUGACAUUGAGUAUCAUUAAACAAUUGAAGAAGGUGAUAUGAUAUUUUCUUCAAAUUUUAACUGAUGCCUGAUACAAAAACUGUUAAUUUCAUAUUUGCUGAAUACAAAAAUAAAUGAGUGAAAACAUUAAGCUGAGAACUCGAG